UCCUAUUCUUUCUCCCGAACCCCUCUUUUCUGCCCGAUCCCUUCUUCCCCGACUCCUCUCCCUCGCGAUCCGGUUUCAUCGCUGAUCGCCGGCUAGCAACGCCGAUCGUCGGCCGUCGCGAGUUCACCGCCGAUGGAGGGCUACUUCUCCACCGUUCCUCACCUCCGCCACUUGAUCUUCCCCUCCACGAAUUUGCCGAUCCUUUCUCCCUCAUCGUUGUGCCCUAGAUUUGCUGAUGCGGAGUCUCGCGCGAGCUCCAUCUUCCUCGAUCCAUCUCCACUACCGACGUCGCUUGAUGCCGUGCUGCCGGCGGACAUCGCCCGAUCGCAUCAGCCUUGUUGUCGCCUGCGCAGGAGGAUCUUCGACAGGGGAAAACCGAGCCCUAGCAUCGAACUUCGCUCGCGAUCAACCCGCUGUCGGUCAAGCCUUCUUCGCUGAUCCUAUCUUUUGUCGAUCCCCUCCCGAGCCUUGCCUCCUCCACAGAGUAGACCCACCUCUAGAUUUUUGUUGCAUCGUCGGAACAACAGAUUCUAGCCAAGAAGGUAUGCUUGCAUCCUUACCUUUUUCCUCCUCUCUGUUCUAUUCGACUGCCACCACCAGGGGUGAUCAAUCUAGGUAAGUUCAUCUGGAAUCUUGAAGAUUCAUUGAUGAUGGUCUAAUUAGUUUCCUUUGUGAUGUUCUUCCUAAUGCUGGACUCGUGGGAGGCAUAGGAACAGCUCCUUGAUGGAUUUCCUCUGGGCAGAUUACUGGUCUCUAUAUUCUUAUGACUGGGGUCUUGGGUAGCUCUCGGGUGAAGAGGAAUUCUUGGUGGUUGUGUGCAGAGAUUGGUAGAGGGCUGUUGAGUUACUGGAUUUUUUUGCCUCCCUCAAGGACUUUGAUCUGGACGAGCAGCGUGACGUGAGGUGGUUCUGUUGGAUACGGACUUUUAAAGGCGGG